rnacentral:misc_RNA from 1 species
GAUGAAGAACGUAGCGAAAUGCGAUAAGUAAUGUGAAUUGCAGAAUUCAGUGAAUCAUCGAAUCUUUGAACGCACAUUGCGCCCAUUAGUAUACUAGUGGGCAUGCCUGUUCGAGCGUCAUUAAUUCCACUUAAGCCCUGCUUAGUGUUGGGAAUCUACUCUAGUGGUGCUACCCUGGAGCUACCCCUGAAAGGGGGCUGGCCCGGUAGCUACCCUGUAGUUCCUCAAAGAUAGUGCGCGGAGUUGCGUGGUCCUCUGAGCUUAGUAACUAUACACCUAGCUUUUGAGUGUCCCGCGGCGCCUGCCGUUUAAACCCCAUCUUUUAAUGGUUGACCUCGGAUCAGGUAGGAAUACCCGCUGAACUUAAGCAUAUCAAUAAGCGGAGGA